UACGUAGGUGGCGAGCGUUGUCCGGAAUUACUGGGUGUAAAGGGCGUGUAGGCGGGAAUGUAAGUCAGAUGUGAAAUUCCAGGGCUCAACCCUGGCGCUGCAUCUGAAACUAUGUUUCUUGAGUGCUGGAGAGGAAAGCGGAAUUCCUAGUGUAGCGGUGAAAUGCGUAGAUAUUAGGAGGAACACCAGUGGCGAAGGCGGCUUUCUGGACAGUAACUGACGCUGAGGCGCGAAAGCGUGGGGAGCAAACAGG
rnacentral:rRNA from 1 species